rnacentral:lncRNA from 1 species
GUCAGCCAGAGCCAAGUGGCAGCCCCUCCUCAUCCUUCUCCACUCAGAGGUGACCCCUCUGGAAGGCAGCUGCUCACACCCCCGAAUCCUGGGGGAGCCCCUCCAUUGCCCAGGAGACCCCUCUUCCUCUGGCACUUGCUGUGGGCUCUGUGGGGAGCCAUCACCGUCUUUCAGAAGUGUGCAGGGCCCAUUAGUGCCAAAGCCAGGUUUCUGCUGCCAAGCUUCUUACAGCCCCCAGCUGGAGCUGAAGAAAAACAAAUUCAGGCUUGGACAUGAAUAGGAAUGUCAUGAUGACUCCGGGCAGCAGUUUUCUUCCAAACCCCAUCAAAUGCAAGUGCAAGAUUGGAUGGUGCUGGAGUGAGCUUGGCAUGUAUAAGAUUUGGUGGGGGGGGGGGGGCAGGCAGGCAGAAGGGUGAGAUGAGAGGGCUUUCUGAGUACUGCUUACAACAAGUGACAUAAUUACUGC